AAGCUGUCUGAUGAAUGGAAGGAGCACUCUGUUAAUGUCCUACGUCUGAAGCUUUGAGGGAAGCUCUAAGAAGUUUAGGCAGAAGAAUGAGAAAGCCUUAACAAAGUCAGAAGAUACUGCCCGCAUUGCAUUAUUGAAGGAGGCAGACAAGCAUAGCAAGGUGAUUUUGGGACGGUUGUCACGAGGCCAUGGAUGCCUGAAGGGCAUAGUUUUUGUCUCUGUUGCACUAGCUGCAAGUGCAGUUGUAAUGUCCUCCCAAAACAUGGAACUGUGGGACAUGAAGAAAUUAUUGGAAAUGAUUACUCACCUUAAAACUCUCUGAGCUACUAUCAAGGGGAGUCCAGCAGCUACCGCUGCACAACCGGAUAUAGGUUUAACUAUGCUCGAAAUAGGUCAGUUUUCUGAGGCAACCCCUUAAAAAAUGGGGGAGGUUGAGUUUCUUGGUUUCUAAUGUUUACCAGAAUUAGAAAUAGGAGCCCCAGCAAGCGGCUUUUGUGGGGUGUCAUUGCAGAGUGUUUUAAGUGUUUGUGUAUGGUGUUGAGUUUGGUGUUAGUUUAGUGAUUUGUUAUCAUUUCAUAAUGACACUAAUUUGGUAGUGUUUUAUCCUCUUUUGGGGUUAAAUUUUACACAUUUGAAAGUGCUAUACAGAGAUGGAAAUAAAGGGGGUAAAGACUAUGCGUGAAA